UUAAAUUUUAUUAUGUUAUUAAUUAAAUUAAAUGUGAGAGACAUUUAAUUUAAUCAAUUAAUGUUAAGUUUGGUGAUUAAAACUUAAUAAAAGUGAAAAAUGUGUCAAAAGCCAAUUUGGACUUUUCUUCUUAUGAAACCUUUAUUAAAAAAAAAAAAAAAUUGAAAUGAUCAUAUAUGGCAAAGGGUGGCCGGCCAUGUGGUGUUUUAGAGUGGUGUGAACCCAAAUUUUAUAAAAUUUAAAUACCAUUUAAUUAAGAGGUCAAGUGGGCAAGUGGAUAGAAAAACACUCAAGUACCUUGUGAUAUUUUGAAGAGUAUUGUGAGCAAUUCCCACACUAAGAACCGACCACUCUCCAUCUCUCAUUCACUAUCAUCUUUUUUUGAAGACCUCUCAAAGUGUUCUCUCCAUUUUUCAAGCCCAGGAACACCAAGGAAACUUUGAGGCUAAGUCUUGGUCUAGGAAGUAUUUUUCCUAAGUUGGUUAGGGUUUUUGAAAGGUUUUGGAGGAGCCAAAGCUAAUAGGAAGGUCCAAACCUUAAGCAAGAACACCAAAGAGUAUUGGCUAAGCGUAACUGGACUGAACGUUGGAGGGUGAAAACUUGCUGAGCGCUAAGGACUCCAAGUAAGAGCAAGGGCAAGGCAGAGCAGUGAGCGCUGGAGUCUUCCUUGCAAAUGUACAUGUGGACCGACCUUUUGGGAAGCCUUUUUAUUUUUGGAAAUGUUGUGUAAUUUUCCUAAACUAGGCUCACUCUAAUCUUUAUAAAACAUGUUUGGUAACUAAAUGUUAAGUAUGGCCAUACGACUUUUUAAAAAGUUUUUUUUUCUAUGGGUUUUUGAGACAUUUUGUUAAAUGAAAACAUUUAUAUUUCCGCAUUAUUGAGUCUUGAAAAAUCCGGAUCGUUACAUUUAGUGUUCUCGACCCAUGAACAGUUUUCGACGCGAUUUUUUUUAUGACCGUGUAUAUUGUAGCUAUUUAGAACAUCCUGCAAAUUUUCAGAAAAUUCUGAAUAGUUUACACUACCGAAAACUAAGUUCAAACAUGUUGUUGCACCCGUGACUAUUUUUUUUAUGCGUGUGGAAAACAACAUGUUUGCAUCUUGUUUUCGAUACUGUAAACUAUUCGGAAUUUUCUGAAAAUUUGCAAGAAGCUCUAAAUAGCUACAAUAUACACGGUCAUAAAAAAAAUUGCGCCGAAAACUGUUCACGGGUCGAGAACACUGAGAGUCCCACCGGUAAAGCUUAAAGUGAAGCCGUCUUUCUGCUAAAUAAGAUGUAUUGAACUCAUAAUUCAUUAGAGACUUUUUAUGAAUGUCAACUAAGUAUCGUAAGUAAAUUUCUCCCAGUUGUUCAAUCAUUUGAUAACCAGAGUCAUUCUUUGAUAAAUGAUCACUAUGACUCAGACUCAAUAGAAUUUGAUCGAUCCUUUUUUCUGUCGUUAAGGCGGAGAA